rnacentral:rRNA from 35 species
UGACCCCAUGCCGAACUCAGAAGUGAAACGCCGUAGCGCCGAUGGUAGUGUGGGGUCUCCCCAUGUGAGAGUAGGGAACUGCCAGGC